GCUACUAGCACCACUCCUUUUUUUUUUUUUUUUUAAUUGAAGGCCUAAGUGAGCUUUGCGAAGCACAGCCAGCCGCAAUGGGCUCCUUUUUUUUUUUUUUUUUUGAUUGAAGGCCUAAGUGAUCUUUGCGAAGCACAGCCACCGGCGAUGGGCUAGCCUUGUGGGAAUAGCACGAUAAAGCCGACAUUUUGUCGACCCACAAACGUACUUUGGCCUUACUUAACAGAUUGGGCCAGCCGAACACAACCUGGAUGGACAAUUACGGUGGUCCAAGAAGAUCGAGCGACCAGACUAAAAGAAAACCAAAGAGGACUGAAUGCUUAAUUAUGAAAAUUACUUGUUUAUCAGAAUAUUUAGUAACUUAGCAGGACUUUGCUGGGAAUAGUGAGGUCUUUCAAAAGAAAGAAAAUUUUAAAU
rnacentral:lncRNA from 1 species